rnacentral:misc_RNA from 1 species
GAUGAAGAACGUAGCGAAAUGCGAUAAGUAAUGUGAAUUGCAGAAUUCAGUGAAUCAUCGAAUCUUUGAACGCACAUUGCGCCCGCUAGUAUUCUGGCGGGCAUGCCUGUUCGAGCGUCAUUUCAACCAUCAAGCCCCCGGCUUGUGUUGGGGACCUGCGGCUGCCGCAGGCCCUGAAAAGCAGUGGCGGGCUCGCUGUCACACCGAGCGUAGUAGCAUACAUCUCGCUCUGGGCGUGCUGCGGGUUCCGGCCGUUAAACCACCUUCAUAACCCAAGGUUGACCUCGGAUCAGGUAGGAAGACCCGCUGAACUUAAGCAUAUCAAUAAGCGGAGGA